rnacentral:rRNA from 1 species
UGGGUAGUCCGCACGAGCGCACCUUGCCCUAUGUUGCCAGCGGUUCGGCCGGGGACUCAUAGGGGACUGCCGGUGAUAAACCGGAGGAAGGUGGGGACGACGUCAAGUCAUCAUGGCCCUUACGCUUGGGGCUACACACGUGCUACAAUGGCCAGCACAAAGGGCUGCCAACCUGCGAAGGUGAGCGAAUCCCAAAAAGCUGGUCUAAGUUCGGAUUGCAGUCUGCAACUCGACUGCAUGAAGUCGGAAUCGCUAGUAAUCGUAGAUCAGCAACGCUACGGUGAAUACGUUCCCGGGCCUUGUACACACCGCCCGUCACGCCAUGGAAGCCGGGGGUGCCCGAAGUCCGUGUCCCAACCCUUGGGAGGGAGCGGCCGAAGGCAAGCUCGGUAACUGGGGUGAAGUCGUAACAAGGUAGCCGUAGGGGAACCUGCGGCUGGAUCACCUCCUUUCU